UACAGAGGUCUCAAGCGUUGUUCGGAUUCAUUGGGCGUAAAGGGCGCGUAGGCGGUUCGUUAAGUCCUGUGUGAAAUCCCCCGGCUCAACUGGGGAACUGCACAGGAAACUAGCGGGCUUGAGUUCGGGAGAGGGAAGCGGAAUUCCGGGUGUAGCGGUGAAAUGCGUAGAUAUCCGGAGGAACACCGGUGGCGAAGGCGGCUUCCUGGACCGACACUGACGCUGAGGCGCGAAAGCUAGGGGAGCAAACGGG
rnacentral:rRNA from 1 species